UAACAACACCUGUCUACCUACCUCAGAGCUGUGCAAGGAUCAAAGGAAAUGAUGUUUCUGACACAUGAUAGGUCACAUCCCACGAUGAACUCAUUAAAAGACAAAGCAUCCUGCCGGAAAACAGCCUUGCCAUCGGUGACAAGGAAGUGAUUGUUCUCACAAUCAAAGCUCUUCACAUCAGCAAAGGGGACAUGAGGGAGGACAAGAUGGGAAGCAGAGCCAUCCAGAAAUGUUGACAUGAAGACGUGGGUGGUGUCGUUGAAGUAAAUGAUUCGCUUGGACUGUGGCUUUACUGCAAAGUCCUUUAAUGUGCAACUCUCCACAAUACGCAUGGCUUCUGAGUCCCGGCCAGGUGGCCCCUGGAGAGCCACUCUAUAAAUGCCAUCUCUCAGGAGAUAAAAGACAUACCUGCCAUGGGAACAAAAGAAGCCUGGUUUGACUCAUUGCAAAGGUAGAUGCUGGCAGCAUUCUGAUCAAACAGCCUCUUCAUAGGUUUAAGAACCAGACCAGAGAGACAUGACCUGAUGCUGAGUUGCCCAGCUGUUAUGUACACAUAAAGAACUGUUGGACAUUGAAAUUGGGACUCAAAAAACUGUUGGCCCAGAAAGAAACUCACUAUAGACUGAUUCAUUUGCCUCUCAGCAUAACCAUUAUUGCUUGUCUCAUUUUCGGUUCUUAUAAGUGAAUUUCUAGUAUCACAUGAGCUCACUCAUCUAGGGGAAAUGAUGAACAACAUAGACUGAUGAACAAGAACAGCAUCGAUCAGAAUGUCA